ensembl:lncRNA
UGGCAGUAGCCCUUUGGCUGCACUCUCGCUGCGUGACCCAUGUGUGACCCUUUCCAGCACAUUACUAAAAUGGCGACUGUAACUAAAAAAAGGGAAGUUGGCAGCGAGGGUUGGCGUUUUCAUGACAAGUGGAAAUUGGAGUAUUUUUUCAGAACACCUGCAGCUGCAGCUGGAGCUCAUUGAGCUGCAGUGUGACGCCGAGUGUCACAGUCGGCACCAACAGCUCCCUCUUGUCAACUUUUACGACCAGCUGGAUAAAGGCAGGUUCCAAGAGAUUCGAACCUUUUGCUAAGAAAAUGCUGAGCUUAUUUGGCUCAACAUACUUGUGCGAGAAGACAUCCUCGGUUAUGAACACUAACAAGAACCGCGUGAGGACGAGACUAAGUGACUCUCACCUGCGUGACAUCUUGCGCAUCAAAACCACAGUUUUUGAGCCAGACCUGGCCAUCUCAGUAUCACCCUUCACAUUAGUGCAGGGAAGUUAUUUGUUUAGUCUUCUGAGGUCAACUGGGGAAGUUCAUCGAUGAAUUUGACACGCUACUGUCCACCAUCCCAGAUGAUGGAACUCCUCUUCUGGUCCUUGGUGAUUUCAACAUUCAUCUAGACAAGCCACAUGCAGGUGACUUUCUUGCUCUCCUUCCCGCAUUCGACCUCAAGCAGUUCAUCACACCAGCAAUCCACAAAGCCGGUAAACAGCUUGACAUCAUCCUCACACGUAAUUGCACCACACAUAAUCUUCUCAUUACUCCUCUCCACACCUCUGACCAUUUCUUUAUCCAGUUCUCUAUUUCUCUCCCCUCACCACCAUCAAUGUCUCCUCCCUCUAUCUCUUUUCGUCGCAAUCUUCGCUCCCUUUCCCCCUCACAUUUCUCCUCUGUUGUCACAACCUUACUUCCCUCCGAAAGCCACCUUUCCUCACUUGACCUAAACACCGCAACCGACAUGCUAUGUUCCACUCUAACAUCUUCUCUUGACAGCAUAUGCCCCUAACCUCCAGACCUGCUCGCACAUCACCCUCUAGUCCUUGGCUCUCAGAAGCUCUGCGUGACAACCGGGCCAAACUGAGAGCAUCUGAAAGGAAUCAACCCAAUUGACCUAACCAAUUACCAGACACUUCCCUCUUCUUUUUCAAAUAGCAUCUCCAUUGCUAAAGCCACAUUCUACCAAGACAAGAUUCUUAGUUCUCCCAACAC